rnacentral:rRNA from 1 species
CCUACGGGGGGCUGCAGUGGGGAAUAUUGGACAAUGGGCGCAAGCCUGAUCCAGCCAUGCCGCGUGUGUGAAGAAGGCCUUCGGGUUGUAAAGCACUUUUGUUGGGGAAGAAACCGACCGGAUUAAUACUUCGGUUGAAUGACGGUACCCAAAGAAUAAGCACCGGCUAACUUCGUGCCAGCAGCCGCGGUAAUACGAAGGGUGCAAGCGGUACGCGGAAUUACUGGGGGUAAAGCGUGCGUAGGGUGUUGAAAGCCCCGGGCUCAACCUGGGAAUGGCGAUGGAUACUGGCAAGCUAGAGUGUGUCAGAGGAUGGUGGAAUUCCCGGUGUAGCGGUGAAAUGCGUAGAGAUCGGGAGGAACACCAGUGGCGAAGGCGGCCAUCUGGGACAACACUGACGCUGAGGCACGAAAGCGUGGGGAGCAAACAGGAUUAGAUACCCUUGUAGUC